CCUACGGGAGGCAGCAGUGAGGAAUAUUGGUCAAUGGACGAAAGUCUGAACCAGCCAUGCAGCGUGCAGGAUGACUGCCCUAUGAGUUGUAAACUGCUUUUAUAUAAGAAUAAAAUGUUCUACGUGUGGUAUUUUGUAUGUACUAUAUGAAUAAGGAUCGGCUAACUCCGUGCCAGCAGCCGCGGUAAUACGGAGGAUCCGAGCGUUAUCCGGAUUUAUUGGGUUUAAAGGGUGCGUAGGUGGAUUGUUAAGUCAGAUGUGAAAGUUUGGGGCUCAACCGUGGAAUUGCAGUUGAUACUGGUAGUCUAGAGAGCAGUUGCGGUAGGCGGAAUGCGUGGUGUAGCGGUGAAAUGCUUAGAGAUCAUGAAGAACACCGAUUGCGAAGGCAGCUUACUGGACUGCAACUGACACUGAGGCUCGAAAGUGUGGGGAGCAAACAGGAUUAGAUACCCGUGUAGUC
rnacentral:rRNA from 1 species